UAAAAAAUAAAAAAACUCUGCACCAGGUCUUCCCCAAGUCCUGAGUCCAGCAAGCAUAUACUCUACAGUCACUGGCAUAAACAGUGAGCCCCAAUGAGCUUCAGCUUUUAGUCAGUAAAUGAAGCAGAUGAGUCGGGAGGUGGUGGAAGUCUCUGAAUACAAGGCUAGCCUGGUCUACAGAGCAGAAUUUCAGGACAGCCAGGGCUACACAAAGUAACCUUGUCUUAAAGAACAAACAAAACAACAGCAGCAACAACAACAAAAACGAAGCAGGGGAUCAUUUGAGAAUCUCUAGUCUUCAAAGUCAUAAUUCUCAUACUUGCCAAAAUGAACAGAAAGAAGAAAAUAAAGCAUAAGGUUCUAGAAGAUGAGUUUUUAUUCUAUGCCUGCGCAGACCAGUGGCUAGCCACAUAGAACUCAAUAGUUGGACCUUUCCCCCCUCCCCCAAAAAACUACCUUGUCUUUGGUAUUUUGAUGAAUAUUUAAAUCAGUCAACAGGAAACACAGUUUUGAAGAAUGAAGUCAUUUCCUUCUGUUUCUACGAUAUACAAUUUCGUCUUUCCAGUAGGAUCUCAGCUGAAUCCGUCAAUGCUAACACAGUGGGUUUUUUUUGGUUUGUUUGUUUGUUUGUUUUUUACCCCCAGUAUAUCAUUUAAAUAUAGCACAGGACUAGCCUGAUGUACCCGAUCUUAUGUCAGGAACACAGUAGGGAUCAUUUGUGACAAAUUAUCUCUUUCAGUGGGGGAACUUGUUUAUGUUGGUUUAGCGUUCCCAUGGGGACUGAGGCCACACAUUGAAUGUCAGUAGGCGAACCAGGGACUCCUUCCCGUAUCUUCUUAGUUCAGGCAAUCCUUUCCCUUUGGGAUGAGAAACCUCAACAUCUGCCCUCCAUCGUCAUUAACUGUUGACCCAGUUUAAGGAUCACAAAGUCUGGCUCGUGUUUUGCUGAGCAGCCUCCAGACUUGCAGAUUUUGUUGUAAAGCAUGGAGCAGAGCAGUUGCUUCGCUAUUCCAUCUCAGGCGAUGAUUGACACACACAAGGCCCACUGUGUAGUAGGCAUGUCAUCUGUUGACGGACCGAAAACGAGCAGUCUGGUAAGGAACUCCAUGCGGUCUGAAGGUGGAGGGAUUGCAUUCACAGUUGGCCUUAAAUAUUCCACUGACUGGCUAGUCCCUCUCCACCCACAGGUAAGUUCCAUGACCUCCCUUCUCUGGCUUGACCCUCCAGGUACAUUCCUCUAAUUCCCCCUUCUUCUCCAUGCAUCCUUUGAUUCUCUGACUCUUACUUACAACUUCAGACUUGGUGCUCGAGGCUGUGGGGGCUUCUGGACACUGUUUCCCAACCAGGGAUUUAAUGAAUAUCAACUCUCAACUCUUUGAUGCUUUCCUCCAUUUUAUAUAGAAAUAAAUUAGUCUUUCCUAUAAAGAUGGUGGGACCUACGGGAAGCGGAAAAGACCAAAAAGCAAAAAGGUUUUUUUUUUGUUUUUUGUUUUUGUAUCCAAUGCCUCUUUCUAUUUCACUCCCUCUCCUUCUGAAUUUUACAACCCUAUCUCUUCUCAGCAGAGAAUAUUGAACAUGAAAUAAUGCUGACAGCUCAAUGCUGUGCCAGGAACAUGAUUUCCAGGGUAACUGAGAAGCCUGCAGGAUGUGGGGGCAGUGGGUCAAACACACUUGACCCCCAGUUGCAAUAAUUUUCCAAUUCAAAUAUCUGGGUUUUAUUGCCGUUGUUUUAAGAAGGUGUCUCUGUUGUUGCCAUGUGUCCCGAGGUGCCUCUUGAUCCCCUUCAACAAGUUGUCUCUAAUCUACUUUGAGCUAAGGAAGCAGCUUGUCAGAUUCACAGGAUCUUGUGUAAAAGGAGAGAUGUGUGUUGACUGACAGUAAGAAGGUGGAAGUGAACUCCGGGAGCCCUGUGAAUGAGCUCUGUGGUGUUUAUUUCAGCUGCUCGGAGCCCCCUUUCCUGUGCCAUGUUCUCUGUGGCUGAGACUAUUGGAAAAAUGACCUCUGGGUAGUGUGAGCAUCAGAGGACUAACAGGUGCCAAGAGCUUCGGCUCAGCUUAGUCUUCGGUAUUGACCGGGUCUACUGGAACUGCUGUUUAUUCUUCAACACCGCAGCCUCCACAGUUCUCCACUUCACUUCUGCAACUUGACCAGUCCUGAGGCUCAAACCUGUGACCUGAUAACGUGAGUCUGCAGCAGCACUCUCAGCUGACGCCUACGGGGAUUUCCCUGGGGUGCACGCAUGCACCCAAACGUGCAUUUGCAGCCUAGUGGGAACAUUGUGUGUCUUUCUCUAUUGAUCUCCACCUUGUUCCUCUGAGACAGGGUCUCUCCCUGAACACAAAACUCACAGCUAGAGUGACCUGCUGAUGAGUUCCCAGGAACCUCUGUCCCUUUCCCUCCAGUGUUGGGGUAAUAGCAAUAUGCAACCAAGCCUUUUUGUUGUUGUUGUUGUUGUUGUUGUUGUUGUUGUUGUGUUUUUGUUUUUAUAAGGCACCAGGGAUUCAUCCUCUGGUCUUCAUACUUGCAUAGCAAAUCCUUUUACCCUGCCAAAUCAUCUUCUCAGCCCCUACAGAGAUUGUUUUUGCUUCUCUCUCAGCUUCCCUCUCCGGCUACUGUUAGAACCCUUCGAAACUCCUUGAACUCUGCUGCAGCCUCUUUAUCUUUCCUGCCGCCAUUACGCAACCUACAAAAAUAUACCUUUACAGAUAUAUUUACAGUGUGAUACCUAGUGUGGUCAGAGACUUAAUAUUAGUGGCUAGUAUUGGAAUAAAAGGACCUGUAUUUGUCUUGCCUGGCUCUGAAGGAAGUCGGAUCACCUGGCAAAGGAAGCUACUGCGCCUUGAGGAUUUACUGUAUUCGAUAAAUUCUGACACGGAGGCAGACACACGGGUUCAUCUGUGCUUCUGGUGUGAUGUGUCCGUGUCAUGGGUUUAGGAUCGUGCCCAGGCUCUGGAGUUGGGUGCUCUCCCCCACAGAGUCUAGCAGGCUCUUCUGAGUAUCUACAGGUACCACCAUUGCACCUGUUGACACACAGAAAAUUGCAACAUAAACAGAGCUGUAAGCUACAGAAUGACAUCUUGGUAAAUGAUAGACCCUUUGUAUAAUGGUGGCUCGCUAUGAUUGUAUCGCACUGAGGCUCGGAGUAGCCACCACAAUUUGUAUAACUGCACAGGAUGGUUCUUCCCCAAGCAAACAGGUCUCCAUUGUUAGAUGACAUAUGAUUGUGCCUAGGUAGAUAAAUACUUAGGCAAAUUAAGGUCCUUCAGAACUGGCUCUUUAUCUUACCUACCUCCAUGUGGUUUUUAGAGCUGAAUAAUAGUUUCCUCAUUAGAAAUAAAGCAAACUAAGAAUGUAAAAGGCCAUUAGCUCAGCCUGGUCUACAGAGUGAGUUCCAGGACAGCCAGGGCUAUACAGAGAAACCCUGUCUCUAAAAACCAAAAAAAAAAAAAAAAGGUCAUUAGCUGUCUGUUGUCUUUAGUCUCGUACUGUCCAACCGGGAAGCCACCAGCUCCAAGAGGCUAUUGAGCACUUGAAAUUCAGCUUGUAUAAAUGAAGGCACGUUGUAAAUAUUCUUGGGUGUAAUUACAAAAUACGCUGGGCUUUGAGGGCUUACAGAAAAGAGAAUGUAAAAAUAUACCAUUGUUCAUUUUGCCUAUUGGUUGUAUGUGGAAGUAAUUUCAUUUGGGGAUGUAGUGGGUUAAAUAAAAUUAAAUUGCCAAUUA